rnacentral:tRNA from 1 species
GGAGAGAUGGCCGAGUGGCUGAAGGCGCACGCCUGGAACGCGUGUAUAGGGCAACCUAUCCUGGGUUCGAAUCCCAGUCUCUCCGCCA